AACGAACGCUGGCGGCGUGGAUAAGACAUGCAAGUCGUACGCUCGUAUCAGGGUAGCAAUAUUCUGGUGCGGGAGUGGCGCAAGGGUGCGUAACACGUGGGUCAUUUGCCGUGAAGCUGGGAACAACUCGUUGAAAGACGAGCUAAUACCCAAUGUGCUCCGCAAGGAGUAAAGCCGGGGACCGCAAGGCCUGGCACUUUACGAUAAGCCCGCGGCCUAUCAGCUAGUUGGCGGGGUAACGGCCCACCAAGGCUAAGACGGGUAGCUGGUCUGAGAGGACGACCAGCCACACUGGAACUGAGACACGGUCCAGACACCUACGGGUGGCAGCAGUCGAGAAUUUUUCACAAUGGGCGCAAGCCUGAUGGAGCGACGCCGCGUGGGGGAUGAAGGGCUUCGGCUCGUAAACCCCUGUCAUUCGCGAACAAAGGUGCCGACCUAACAUGUCGUCGCCUGAUAGUAGCGGAAGAGGAAGGGACGGCUAACUCUGU
rnacentral:rRNA from 1 species